rfam:Nicotiana attenuata strain TT chromosome 9, whole genome shotgun sequence.
UGGACAGAUUAUUAUAUUCGACUGUAUUCACGGCGUCAAAUAGGGGAUUACACUGUUUUUAAACGAAAAGUGAAUCAAUUAACAUAAUAGACUCCU